GAGUUAGAAGAAGUAGACUUAUUUUUUCUUGAAAUACCCUGUCAAUGAUUUUUCAUUCGUAUGGGCAGACCUUCAAUUGUGAGUGUCUUUCUCUUUCGUCUUCUGUAUUCUCCUUGUAGAGUCCCAAAUCUCAAGUAUAGUAGUAGUAGAUGUUAAAUGGAGUAAGAUCUAAAAGCAAUUUUUUUAUUUUUGCAUAGAUCAAGAAUAACACCAAUUGUUGGAUGUUCAACUCAUUAUCAUUUGAGACAUUUAUUUAAGCUGCUAAAUCUUUAAGAAUUAGGACUUGGUUAGGGGAAAACUGGAAAACUGAGUGGGUAUUGGGUUUUCAGUUUUGAAUUUUACUUGUUCCUUUCCCUAAUGUGAUAUUUUGAACCUUUUCUUGUACUGUUAAGUUAAGUGUGGAGAAAGAUGCGACUCCUGUAACUUGAAUUUUACUUAGCUAUGUCUACAGAAGAUGAAGUAUGAGAAUGUGGGAUAUAUAUGCACUAUCAGAGAAAGGGAAUAUAUUCUCAUAGAAAAUCACAUGUCUAAUUAUAGUGUUCUGAACAACUCUAGUUGGUAUUUUCAUAUUAUCUUUUGCUUUUGUUUGUGAUUCUGUUAUUUUAGAUUAAGCAAAGCUCAUGUCUUGGUCUAUGCAAUCCAAGGAACUGUAGCUGAGGUAAACAUAAAACUUGUCUCUAUGGUGCUUAAUGUUGUCGUCAAGUUGUUGCUCACUAUUAGCCAAAGUACUGUUAGAACUCUAUCUAAUAUAUAUGUUUGAGGCUUUUUUUGUAGUACGAUCACCAUGAUCUAAAUUACUUUCCCCCUUUAUGGUAUUGUAAUUUUUCUUUUAACUGUCUUGUUUGCAUUUAUUUUUUUCUGUAGAAGGAAAGCUAUCCAAGUGUGCGGCCUUUUAUACUGUGGAGUGUGGACUAUAGGAUUCUUGUGAAAUUUUUGUUGAUCUGCAGGACUAUAAAUAUUUCAGUAUACUGAGAAUUUUCUUGAGCAUUUGAGGUUUACAUUAUUUUUGUUUGUAACAACUAACAAAUGAAUUUUUUGAUUGGCACUUGGAAGUUCUAAACUAAUAUGCAUUAGAGGAUUGUUUUACCAACCACCACUAAUUUCAUUUUAAUGCAUUUUUCUCCCUUGACAGAGAAAACAGGACGAAGCUAUCAAAUCAAAUGUAAGAUAUUCAUCUUUUGAGGUAUAUGUUACUCUUUACUAUAGUAGUUGCAUUUACUAUUUAGUUUUGGGUCUUGAUUAGUUUGCAAUGCUGGAUCAAUGUGUUCUUUUUUUUUCAUUGACAGAACAGAAGCAAAUAAUAUAACAAUCUAAUUAACAUAAAUAUCAGAUUAUGACCUGAAACCUUAAGGAUGUUUGGUCCGCCUGAUAGCCCNNNNN
rnacentral:lncRNA from 1 species